AAUAACUCUAAAUAUCAAAAAUAAAACCGAAAUGUAAAUUAAAUAAUAUUCUACACAGCAAUAUUGACUCUAAUAAUCGAGAAACCAACUCAUGGAACUAAAUAAGUGAGAAAGUGUAAAAAUAUAUGUAUUAUUAUUUAAAAAAAAAACACAUUUUCAUUUAAAGCAAAUCGCUCGGUUGUGAUUGAUAAAUACGUGUCUCAAACGCAUCUGAUUAACAGGAUUUAUAGAAGAAAUUUUCAAUAAAAUAUUUCUAAUUAUGUGUAAAUAUCUCAUAACUAAAACUAUUUAGUGCAUUUUAAGUAAAUAAAUUUUAGCGUCAAUCAUAAAUUAAAUCGAUCAUUAAAUUAAAAACGAAAACAUUGUAAACGCCCAACUGAAGUGUGCAGAAAAUACUUGCUCGUAAAAUUUGAACAAAAACACUAGUAAAGUUAUAUAUAUGAUAUAAAAAGCUAUUGGUAUUUGAGCGGAUGUAUGAAAUAGAGGCGGAUCGCAGCUAUAAAACACUGCUACUACAAAUAAAUAAAUACCAAAAAGUAAAAGAAAAUUGCCAUAAAAACAUUCUAGUGCAAAUAAUUAGCUCGCCAUUCAAUUUUCAAUUUUGCUUUGUACAACAAACUACCGAUUAGUAUGGCAAUUGAUGAGCCGAAAAUUCAAAAUUUUUAAUAAAAAUAUCAAAAGCAACGUAUGCAACACAAAUUACCGUAAUAAGGAAAUACUAUAACAUUGUCGUUUAACAUAUUUACGAAACUGUUCGCAUGUCUGUGUGCGUGGGUUUUGAAGCCUCUAGUUAAUUUCUGUUAAUUACCACUGGAAACUUUUAUAUCUGUAUUUUACAAUGGAUAGACUUCAUAUCUGACUUCAUAUCCACUAGUUUUGCCACUCUAAAACUCUGUAACCUCCCGACGUCUAAUUUAAUAAAAAUAACCACUGAAAUUUUAAAUCCUGCAUAAACAGUACAGCUGCUAAUGAGAAUAACGGGAAAGGCGAUAACUCAUAUUAAAGCUUGUGAAAUUAAUAAAAAUAUAUUAGACUUUGUGUACCGAAGUUAACAAUGACUCCAAAGAAUCUUGACGUGAUAAUCAGCUGAAACGUAUUGAGUGAUAUCGUAUGUACGUAUGUAUGUAUAAACGAUAUUCACGAACAAGAACAAAUUUGAACGAGGCACGGAUUUUCCUCUGAGACAACUAAACUAACUGAGUAGUUAAAGCAACAGUUGCUCUCUUUGGCAUCAGUGGUGAGUUUAGAACUGACAGCAAAACUAUUUAUUACGGUACUCAAUGACAAACUGCGGAUAUUCUACUAGCGAGUAAUAGCGCAAUCAGCAUUUGAACACACCUCUCAUCCGUGCCUUACGACUUUAAGAGGGAAACAUGGCCAAAAGUUAUGCUCGCAGCUUACCAGUGCGAUAUUAGCUGUGCUUUCGCCAGUUGUCAGUAAGUAUCCGUAUUUUUUGUUAUUUUUUGUAAUAAAUUCACAAUCUCCGUUAUCAAAUUUCAUAAUUUAUAUUUACGAAUGUGAACUUAAAUCAAAAAUUAGUGAGCUGUAAAUAAUUAAAAAGUCUCCGCGGUUUCUGUCACUACUUGGUGUUCAAACCUUAUUUCAGGCAACUCUAAAUCGAUUAUGUCAAACGAAUAUAUCUUUGAAAGCUGACAUUUUAAGUAAUAUUUCUUGUAAAGAUAGUUCUGUAAAUCGUCAUUUGUGUGAAAAGUUAUUUUGAUGUGAAAUGAGUGACAUUACGCGCAAAUGUGACGCUUUUUUAGCUAUAAAAAGUUUGUACUAUAAAAAGUUUGUACUAUAAAAAAGGUAAAAACUUUGCAAAAAUCAUGCGAAAAAUUUGCAAUACCGGAACCCAAGAUUGGUUUGCUCGUUAUCCAUUUUGCGGUUUCGAAAAUAAACGUUAAUUAAAUAAAUUUUUUUAUUUUCUUUUUUUCAUGAAAUCCUUUUCGUUAUAAAUUUUGAACCGCUCUCAUUUUAUGUGAAACAUUCAUUCUAAUGACGCAGGUUCUCCAUAAUCUGCUCUCAAAGCACGAAACGUGUUUGAAGCACCAUUUUUUUUUUUGCACGUCUUAAUAAUUUGAACGCGUUUUGCGGUUGUCAAGCGAGCCAUUUUCAUAAAAGUCGGUUUUUGAACCAAAGCCAAAAUAAGUUUGCUUUAAUUCAAUUAAGUUUGACAGUUGCCAAAAUACAACUCUGCACUUUUGAAGCCACGAAAAGAAUAACCGUUUAACGAACGGUGAAACAACUUUUACUGCCUAAAAAAUUCGUUUUGGUUUUUCCGCGCAAUUUUUCGCACCAAACAAUUAGCCAAUUGCGAACGCACCCACUUCCCUGACUAGUUAAACAUUCGACUUAAUAUGAUAAAUAAAUUAAUAAUGAGUUCUUUUUUU